UGAAGUUUUCUUCCAGAGUUUAAAAAUUUGAUCAUGGUUUAUAAUGAUUUAAAAUGGUAUUAUCUAGGUUUGAUUUACUGAAUAGGCAAUAAAAAUUUACCUUGGCAAAUUAUCGCUUGUAUAACACUUGUUCCAGAAUAAUCGGCUAGACUUGUUGAAGCUUGUACUUUAAUUGUUGUUAAUUAUAAGUUUAAUAAAUAUACUUUAAAGGUUUUAGGUAGAAUUAGAACUUGUAUAAAUAAAAUCUUAUAAUUUUAAAUUUUGUUGAACGAAUUAGAUUAGUACCUAAUUAGACAAAAAUUAAAAGAGCAGGAGUAAAGUUGUAUUUAAACUGAAAGGAUAUUGGCAGGCUUUCUAAAUUAUCUUUGGAGGUUGAGUAAUAAUUGAGAACCCUCAUUAACUACUUAAUUUUUUGACUCAUGUAUGAUCGUUUAUUUUAUUCUUAAGGAUUAUAAAUAAAAAUUUUUAAUUUAAUAAAAUAGAUAUAUACCUGGUUUAUGAUAAAAGUAAUAUUUGACCUACAAUAUUUUAUAAUGUGAAUAUUAAUUGUAGUAAUUAAUUGAAAAUGUAAAAGACAGUAAAGAAAUUUUAAUGUUUUCUUGAAGAGUAUCUAGAAGCGGUACAAAUCAUCCAUCAAUUGCCCAAAGGGGAGUAAGUUGUAGUAAAGUAGAUUUAGGGGAACCUUAAUCUAGUAAAU
rnacentral:ncRNA from 1 species